rnacentral:snRNA from 3 species
AGCUUUGCGCAGUGGCAAUAUCAUAGCCAAUGAGGUUUAUCUGAGGUACGAUUAUUGCUAAUUGAAAAAUUAGGUAAACCUCAAUUAACUUAUAUUUAAUAAAGCUAAUAGCU